rnacentral:rRNA from 1 species
UACGUAGGGUGCGAGCGUUGUCCGGAAUUAUUGGGCGUAAAGAGCUUGUAGGCGGUUUGUCGCGUCUGCUGUGAAAAUCCGGGGCUCAACCCCGGACUUGCAGUGGGUACGGGCAGACUAGAGUGUGGUAGGGGAGACUGGAAUUCCUGGUGUAGCGGUGAAAUGCGCAGAUAUCAGGAGGAACACCGAUGGCGAAGGCAGGUCUCGUGGGCCGAUACUGACGCUGAGGAGCGAAAGCCAGGGGAGCAAACGGGA